rnacentral:rRNA from 1 species
AACGAACGCUGGCGGCAGGCUUAACACAUGCAAGUCGAACGCUCCGCAAGGAGAGUGGCGGACGGGUGAGUAACACGUGGGAACGUACCCUUUACUACGGAACAACUCCGGGAAACUGGAGCUAAUACCGUAUGUGCCCUUCGGGGGAAAGAUUUAUCGGUAAAGGAUCGGCCCGCGUUGGAUUAGCUAGUUGGUGGGGUAAAGGCCUACCAAGGCGACAAUCCAUAGCUGGUCUGAGAGGAUGAUCAGCCACAUUGGGACUGAGACACGGCCCAAACUCCUACGGGAGGCAGCAGUGGGGAAUAUUGGACAAUGGGCGCAAGCCUGAUCCAGCCAUGCCGCGUGUGUGAUGAAGGCCUUAGGGUUGUAAAGCACUUUCACCGGAGAAGAUAAUGACGGUACCCGCAGAAGAAGCCCCGGCUAACUUCGUGCCAGCCGCCGCGGUAA